CCAGAUUUUGCGAGAGGCCUGACCUCCAACCCAUCCUGCUCCGGCGCCCCCUCAUCACCUAUGCCUAUGGUAUGUUCCGUCGCUUCUCAUCAAGAUUCCACCGGUCAACUAUGCCCGCCUCGCCACGCGACCUCACCGCGAACCCAUCUGCCUCGCACCUUCACCACCCCGACCAGCUUCCUUCUCACUCUUCCUCCUGCGAUCCACGCCGCCGAGCGUACUGCUGCUCCCUAGUCCUCUCCAUGGAUGCAACCCUGAGGCAACGCUGCACCAUCCUGGCAUUAACAGGUCGAGCAGCCCAUCCUCGACGACAUUUUGUCCAUCGCCAGGCUCCCACAUGGAUUGAAUCGGCUGUAUCCGGGGUUACAUUGGCCGGCCAGAUAAUACACAUAUCGAUUGCAAAUUUCUUCCCUAUUUGAAGCAACCCAUCUCCAAAUUGAAGGUAUGUGUAGUUCCUCCAUCGUCCCAGAUUUUGGUAUAUUAUAUUCUAGAAAUUGAGCAACCUGACCUAGGUUUUAGAUCAACUCGUCUUGAUGCUUUUUAAUCCUGCUUUGAUUGUUGAUUCUCUUCCUACUAUCCAUGCUUAUUUUCCUACUAUUGUGUUAUUCUAAGAUAUCAUGAAUUUGACACUUCCAAAUACUAGCGGCGCAUGACGCAUGGCUGCCAUUACAUGUUGCAGAGUCCACUCCCGUAGCGAAACGAUGACGAUGUGGUGGCUGGUGGCGGUGAUGACAAGGACGUCAAUGGGAAUGGGGACAUGUAAUGUGAUAGACUGGCGACAGAAUCAUAUUGCGAUUGUGUCGUCCUCUUCUUUGGCGCUGGUGCUUCAAUGGUGCUCCUAAACGACACAAUUCCUUUUAUUCGUCUUGGCAUCAUCUCUCGUUCCUCCGACGCCUCCAAUUUCUCGACGUCACUGGCUCUACAUAUAGUGUUGUGGUUCAUUGUCACAAACGCAAUGCUUCAGAGCCUAUGUAUUAAUUUCUGUACUACUUAUGUAUGUGCUUC
rnacentral:lncRNA from 1 species